CCUACGGGAGGCAGCAGUGGGGAAUAUUGCACAAUGGGGGAAACCCUGAUGCAGCGACGCCGCGUGAGCGAUGAAGUAUUUCGGUAUGUAAAGCUCUAUCAGCAGGGAAGAAAAUGACGGUACCUGACUAAGAAGCCCCGGCUAACUACGUGCCAGCAGCCGCGGUAAUACGUAGGGGGCAAGCGUUAUCCGGAUUUACUGGGUGUAAAGGGAGCGUAGACGGCGAUGCAAGCCAGAUGUGAAAGCCCGGGGCUCAACCCCGGGACUGCAUUUGGAACUGUAUAGCUGGAGUGUCGGAGAGGCAGGCGGAAUUCCUAGUGUAGCGGUGAAAUGCGUAGAUAUUAGGAGGAACACCAGUGGCGAAGGCGGCCUGCUGGACGACGACUGACGCUGAGGCACGAAAGCGUGGGGAUCGAACAGGAUUAGAUACCCGAGUAGUC
rnacentral:rRNA from 1 species